rnacentral:rRNA from 1 species
CUACGGGCGGCUCCAGUGAGGAAUUUUGCGCAAUGGGGGGAACCCUGACGCAGCAACGCCGCGUGAGUGAUGAAGGCUUUCGGGUCGUAAAGCUCUGUCAAGUGGGAUGAACCUAUGCAGUGUUAAUAUCACUGUAUACUGACGGUACCACUGAAGGAAGCACCGGCUAACUCCGUGCCAGCAGCCGCGGUAAUACGGGGGGUGCAAGCGUUAUUCGGAAUCAUUGGGCGUAAAGGGCACGUAGGCGGCUUGGUAAGUCAGAUGUGAAAGCCCGGGGCUUAACCCCGGAAGUGCAUUUGAUACUGUCGGGCUUGAGUAUGGGAGAGGGAAGUGGAAUUCCUGGUGUAGAGGUGAAAUUCGUAGAUAUCAGGAGGAACACCGGUGGCGAAGGCGACUUCCUGGACCAAUACUGACGCUGAGGUGCGAAGGCGUGGGUAGCAAACAGGAUUAGAUACCCGCGUAGUC